rnacentral:rRNA from 1 species
AGUGAACGCUGGCGGUAGGCCUAACACAUGCAAGUCGAACGGCAGCACAGUAAGAGCUUGCUCUUACGGGUGGCGAGUGGCGGACGGGUGAGGAAUACAUCGGAAUCUACUUUUUCGUGGGGGAUAACGUAGGGAAACUUACGCUAAUACCGCAUACGACCUACGGGUGAAAGCAGGGGAUAUUCGGACCUUGCGCGAUUGAAUGAGCCGAUGUCGGAUUAGCUAGUUGGGGGGGUAAAGGCCCACCAAGGCGAGGAUCCGCAGCCGGUGUGAGAGGAUGAUCGGCGGCACGAGAGCGGAGACACGGUCCAGAGUCCUAAGAGAGGGAGCAGUGGGGAAUGUUGGGCAGUGGGCGCAAACCUGACCCAGCCAGACCGCGUGUGAGACAGAGGCCUUCGGGUUGUAAAGCCCGUUUGUUGGGUAAGAAAAGCAGCAGCUUGAUACCCCGCUGUUCUGACGGUACCCAAAGAAUAAGCACCGGCUAACUUCGUG